CAACCUUGUUCGCGUGGACUUCAGAGAGGCCAAAGAGGAGAAUCAUCAUUCGUAGACCGAGUACGGAUUCCAUGGAGGUGGAUGAAAACCAGCCUGAUGAGAGAAGGGAUGCCUUGAGCAGAGGUACCUCCUCCACACCCGUACCAUGAUUAUGCUGUUCCACCACCAGAGGCCAGAGACACCAGAGGAACAACUUGAGGCGGCUCGCAAGCACAUCAUUGAGCAAGACAAGUUAAUAGCACAACUUAAAGAUAAAGUGUUCAGUGUGUCGAGAUUCCAGUGUGAUGAUAGUCAGAUGUCAUUUUACACAGGAUUCCCAGACUAUGCCACCUUUAAAGCUGUAUAUAUGGCUCUACAGCCCACGCCCACAGGCAUGGUUGGAUGGAGUCAGGCUCAAAGGCUUACAUAAACAGAGGUACAGGUCAUCAGAAAGGCAUUUAAUAUCCCUAAACUAGCAAUUAUGGACCAGUUCUUUCUCUUCCUCUGUCGUCUCAGACAGGGUUUUGCUGAGCAGUGCACUUUGGUGUGUCACAGUCAACUGUGAGCAGAAUCUGUGUCACCUGGGCUAACUAUCUAUACUUCAUGUUAGGAGUA